UUAUAAUUAUUUACUUUAACUUUAAUUUGUAUGUGAAUUUUUAUCUAUGAAUCUAUAAGAUUAUUGAUUUUGCAGUGAAUUGUUUUAUUGAUAUUAAGUAAAUUUAGAUUUAGUAAAAGUUAAUAAGAUUGGAUAAUAUUGUGCCAGCAUCCGCGGUUAUACAAUAGAUUUUAGUGAAUAGAAUUAGUUUAAUAUAAUUAAUAUAUAUAUAAUGAAGUUUACUUCAAUAUUAUAAGGUGAAAUUAUUUAGAUAUUGACAGUGAAUUUUAAAUAUGUUAGUAUGAUUAAUAAAUAUUAUGUUAUUAAAUUGAAGAUUUAAACUAGGAUUAGAUACCCUAUUAUUUUUAAUGUAAGUUAAUUAAACUUGAGUAUUAAUAGUUAAGAUCUUGAAACUCAAAGAAUUUGGCGGUAUUAAAGUCUGAUUAGAGGAAUCUGUUAUGUAAUCGAUAGUCCACGUUGAACCUUACUUAGUUUAUGUUUUUGUAUACCGCUGUUUAGAAAAUAUUAUAAGAUUAUUUGCUUAAUAUAUAAUUUAAUAAGAAUUCAAGUCAAGGUGCAAUGAUAGUUAAGUUUAAUAAUGGAUUACAAUAAAUUUUAUUUAUAUGAAUUAUUAAUGAAAUAUUAGUUUGAAGGUGGAUUUAAUUGUAAUUUUUUAAAGAUUAUUAAAGUGAAUAAGCUCUAUAAUAUGCACACAUCGCCCGUCACUCUCAUUAUAAGAUGAGAUAAGUCGUAACAAAGUAGAUGUAUCGGAAGAUGUGUCUAGAAAGUAAAUGGUAAUUUAAUAUUUGU
rnacentral:rRNA from 1 species